GAUUAAGUUAUUAAGGGCGCACGGUGGAUGCCUUGGCACUAGAAGCCGAUGAAGGACGUUACUAACGACGAUAUGCUUUGGGGAGCUGUAAGUAAGCUUUGAUCCAGAGAUUUCCGAAUGGGGAAACCCAGCAUGAGUUAUGUCAUGUUAUCGAUAUGUGAAUACAUAGCAUAUCAGAAGGCACACCCGGAGAACUGAAACAUCUUAGUACCCGGAGGAAGAGAAAGAAAAUUCGAUUCCCUUAGUAGCGGCGAGCGAAACGGGAAGAGCCCAAACCAAAAAGCUUGCUUGUUGGGGUUGUAGGACACUCUAUACGGAGUUACAAAGGACGACAUUAGACGAAUCAUCUGGAAAGAUGAAUCAAAGAAGGUAAUAAUCCUGUAGUCGAAAAUGUUGUCUCUCUUGAGUGGAUCCUGAGUACGACGGAGCACGUGAAAUUCCGUCGGAAUCUGGGAGGACCAUCUCCUAAGGCUAAAUACUCUCUAGUGACCGAUAGUGAACCAGUACCGUGAGGGAAAGGUGAAAAGCACCCCGGAAGGGGAGUGAAAUAGAACCUGAAACCGUGUGCUUACAAGUAGUCAGAGCCCGUUAAUGGGUGAUGGCGUGCCUUUUGUAGAAUGAACCGGCGAGUUACGAUUUGAUGCAAGGUUAAGCAGUAAAUGUGGAGCCGUAGCGAAAGCGAGUCUGAAUAGGGCGUUUAGUAUUUGGUCGUAGACCCGAAACCAGGUGAUCUACCCUUGGUCAGGUUGAAGUUCAGGUAACACUGAAUGGAGGACCGAACCGACUUACGUUGAAAAGUGAGCGGAUGAACUGAGGGUAGCGGAGAAAUUCCAAUCGAACCUGGAGAUAGCUGGUUCUCUCCGAAAUAGCUUUAGGGCUAGCCUCAAGUGAUGAUUAUUGGAGGUAGAGCACUGUUUGGACGAGGGGCCCCUCUCGGGUUACCGAAUUCAGACAAACUCCGAAUGCCAAUUAAUUUAACUUGGGAGUCAGAACAUGGGUGAUAAGGUCCGUGUUCGAAAGGGAAACAGCCCAGACCACCAGCUAAGGUCCCAAAAUAUAUGUUAAGUGGAAAAGGAUGUGGCGUUGCCCAGACAACUAGGAUGUUGGCUUAGAAGCAGCCAUCAUUUAAAGAGUGCGUAAUAGCUCACUAGUCGAGUGACACUGCGCCGAAAAUGUACCGGGGCUAAACAUAUUACCGAAGCUGUGGAUUGUCCUUUGGACAAUGGUAGGAGAGCGUUCUAAGGGCGUUGAAGCAUGAUCGUAAGGACAUGUGGAGCGCUUAGAAGUGAGAAUGCCGGUGUGAGUAGCGAAAGACGGGUGAGAAUCCCGUCCACCGAUUGACUAAGGUUUCCAGAGGAAGGCUCGUCCGCUCUGGGUUAGUCGGGUCCUAAGCUGAGGCCGACAGGCGUAGGCGAUGGAUAACAGGUUGAUAUUCCUGUACCACCUAUAAUCGUUUUAAUCGAUGGGGGGACGCAGUAGGAUAGGCGAAGCGUGCGAUUGGAUUGCACGUCUAAGCAGUAAGGCUGAGUAUUAGGCAAAUCCGGUACUCGUUAAGGCUGAGCUGUGAUGGGGAGAAGACAUUGUGUCUUCGAGUCGUUGAUUUCACACUGCCGAGAAAAGCCUCUAGAUAGAAAAUAGGUGCCCGUACCGCAAACCGACACAGGUAGUCAAGAUGAGAAUUCUAAGGUGAGCGAGCGAACUCUCGUUAAGGAACUCGGCAAAAUGACCCCGUAACUUCGGGAGAAGGGGUGCUCUUUAGGGUUAACGCCCAGAAGAGCCGCAGUGAAUAGGCCCAAGCGACUGUUUAUCAAAAACACAGGUCUCUGCUAAACCGUAAGGUGAUGUAUAGGGGCUGACGCCUGCCCGGUGCUGGAAGGUUAAGAGGAGUGGUUAGCUUCUGCGAAGCUACGAAUCGAAGCCCCAGUAAACGGCGGCCGUAACUAUAACGGUCCUAAGGUAGCGAAAUUCCUUGUCGGGUAAGUUCCGACCCGCACGAAAGGCGUAACGAUUUGGGCACUGUCUCAACGAGAGACUCGGUGAAAUCAUAGUACCUGUGAAGAUGCAGGUUACCCGCGACAGGACGGAAAGACCCCGUGGAGCUUUACUGUAGCCUGAUAUUGAAAUUCGGCACAGCUUGUACAGGAUAGGUAGGAGCCUUUGAAACGUGAGCGCUAGCUUACGUGGAGGCGCUGGUGGGAUACUACCCUAGCUGUGUUGGCUUUCUAACCCGCACCACUUAUCGUGGUGGGAGACAGUGUCAGGCGGGCAGUUUGACUGGGGCGGUCGCCUCCUAAAAGGUAACGGAGGCGCUCAAAGGUUCCCUCAGAAUGGUUGGAAAUCAUUCAUAGAGUGUAAAGGCAUAAGGGAGCUUGACUGCGAGACCUACAAGUCGAGCAGGGUCGAAAGACGGACUUAGUGAUCCGGUG
rnacentral:rRNA from 1 species